ACAUGCCUACAACAUAAUGUUAAUGCAUUGGAUCCCAUUAGAACUUCGUAGUUAAGUGUGCUCAAGCUAGAGUAGUACUUGGAUGGGUGACCUCCCAAGAAUUCCUAGUGUUUUACAUGCC
rnacentral:rRNA from 1 species